AUUGAACGCUGGCGGAAUGCUUUACACAUGCAAGUCGAACGGCAGCACGGGGGCAACCCUGGUGGCGAGUGGCGAACGGGUGAGUAAUACAUCGGAACGUGCCCAGUCGUGGGGGAUAACGUAGCGAAAGUUACGCUAAUACCGCAUACGAUCUAUGGAUGAAAGCGGGGGACCGUAAGGCCUCGCGCGAUUGGAGCGGCCGAUGUCAGAUUAGGUAGUUGGUGGGGUAAAGGCUCACCAAGCCAACGAUCUGUAGCUGGUCUGAGAGGACGACCAGCCACACUGGGACUGAGACACGGCCCAGACUCCUACGGGAGGCAGCAGUGGGGAAUUUUGGACAAUGGGCGCAAGCCUGAUCCAGCAAUGCCGCGUGCAGGAAGAAGGCCUUCGGGUUGUAAACUGCUUUUGUACGGAACGAAACGGCUCUGGUUAAUACCUGGGGCUAAUGACGGUACCGUAAGAAUAAGCACCGGCUAACUACGUGCCAGCCGCCGCCGUAA
rnacentral:rRNA from 1 species